rnacentral:rRNA from 1 species
ACGCUGGCGGCGUGCUUAACACAUGCAAGUCGAACGAGAAGAGAUGAGAAGCUUGCUUCUUAUCGAUUCGAGUGGCAAACGGGUGAGUAACGCGUAAGCAACCUGCCCUCUAGAUGGGGACAACAGCUGGAAACGGCUGCUAAUACCGAAUACGUUCUUUCUGUCGCAUGGCAGAGGGAAGAAAGGGAGGCUCUUCGGAGCUUUCGCUGGAGGAGGGGCUUGCGUCUGAUUAGCUAGUUGGAGGGUAACGGCCCACCAAGGCGACGAUCAGUAGCCGGUCUGAGAGGAUGAACGGCCACAUUGGGACUGAGACACGGCCCAGACUCCUACGGGAGGCAGCAGUGGGGAAUCUUCCGCAAUGGACGAAAGUCUGACGGAGCAACGCCGCGUGAACGAUGACGGCCUUCGGGUUGUAAAGUUCUGUUAUACGGGACGAAUGGUACGACGGUCAAUACCCGUCGUAAGUGACGGUACCGUAAGAGAAAGCCACGGCUAACUACGUG